AUGCUAUCGAGGGACUGAUUAAAGUGUUGAGCAAUGAAGGGAAUAAAAGGGUCUUCUUUUGAGAAACCUGCUAAAAGUGCAUUUUUGCAAGGAGUCAUUUUUGCUUUGUUCCCUGUUCAUUAACAUCUCUUUAUUCAUCACAACUUUGAACAAAAUUAUUCUUUUCACAAAACUACUCACAUUGUUUCCUAUUCCUUGACACAAUGAAGCUAUACAUAUGUAUGACACAUCACUGAGUGUCGUUUUAGGAAAGACCCUGCUAUUAUGCAUAUGCACAAGGAUGAGAGUUAAGUUAUUGUAACCAUGGAAGCCACUUUAUUGGAGCAGUCUGACAUUCUGGGGAAGGGGGAGGAAAGAGAAUGCUUAUUGAACAUGAUUCCGGUGUAGGUUUUGCAUCAGCAUAUAUGGAGAGCUAGAUUACAACGUGCAAACUAUUUGCAUAGGCAGAAUUCAGCCUCAGCAUUUCAUAAUAAAUAGAUGAGCCUCGUGUUUUUAGAGUAAUGGGAGAACAAUGUCGUAAAGCAAAUGAAGUGCCGCUAAUCAUUUCACAUUUCUUAUAAAACCAGUUUUAUCUUUCUAGUCCUGGUACUGAUCCUAUAUGGGAACAAGAAAUAUUCAGAAAACUUGCUUGGCUGAGACCGAAGGUAUGAGCAAAUAGGAAUAAGGGACAUUGGACUGUCUCUCAUGAGAUGGCAUCACUUCCACCAGCAGAUGGCAGAGCAGCCUACUUUUUUGGAGAUAGUGAAGGUAAUUCAUUGCUGGAAUAUUUUCCCUUACUUUACAAUCAGUAACAUUCUAAUAUGCCAUUUUCAGACCCUGCCUGGCCAAGUGCACAUAAGUGUAUAUAUAUAUAUACAUAUAUAUUUAUACAUAUACAUAUAUGUGAAUGUAGAGAGUGAAAAGAGAGAGGGAGAGGGAAAGAGAGAGACAGAGAGACAGACAGACAGAGAGAGAGAGAAAGGGGGGAAGAGAGGGAUGGAGAGAGAAAAAGAAAGAAAGAAAAAGAAAAAGAAAGAAAGGAAGGAAGAAAGAAAGAAAGAAAGAGAAGAAAGAAAGAAAGAAAGAAAGAAAGAAAGAAAGAAAGAAAGAAAGAAAGAAAGAAAGAAAGAGGAAGAAAGAAAGGAAGAAAGGAAGAAAGAANGCA
rnacentral:lncRNA from 1 species